UGAACGCUGGCGGUAGGCCUAACACAUGCAAGUCGACCGGCAGCACAGUAAGAGCUUGCUCUUACGGGUGGCGAGUGGCGGACGGGUGAGGAAUACAUCGGAAUCUACUUUUUCGUGGGGGAUAACGUAGGGAAACUUACGCUAAUACCGCAUACGACCUACGGGUGAAAGCAGGGGAUCUUCGGACCUUGCGCGAUUGAAUGAGCCGAUGUCGGAUUAGCUAGUUGGCGGGGUAAAGGCCCACCAAGGCGACGAUCCGUAGCUGGUCUGAGAGGAUGAUCAGCCACACUGGAACUGAGACACGGUCCAGACUCCUACGGGAGGCAGCAGUGGGGAAUAUUGGACAAUGGGCGCAAGCCUGAUCCAGCCAUACCGCGUGGGUGAAGAAGGCCUUCGGGUUGUAAAGCCCUUUUGUUGGGAAAGAAAAGCAGCAGGUUAAUACCCCGCUGUUCUGACGGUGCCCAAAGAAUAAGCACCGGCUAACUUCGUG
rnacentral:rRNA from 1 species